CAUAGUUUAUUAGAUCUUACUCUACUUGGAUACCUGUGGUAACCUAAGAGCUAAUACAUGCAACAAAGUCCUAACCUUGCGGGAAGGACGCAUUUAUUAGAACAAAACCAAUCGGGCUUGCCCGUAGUUUGGUGAAUCUGAAUAACUAUGCCGAUCGCACAGUCCUCGUACUGGCGACGUAUCUUUCAAAUGUCUGGCUUAUCAACUUUCGAUGGUAGUUUACACGGCUACCAUGGUUGUAACGGGUAACGGAGAAUAAGGGUUCGACUCCGGAGAGGGAGCCUGAGAAACGGCUACCACA
rnacentral:rRNA from 1 species